rnacentral:pre_miRNA from 1 species
UUUAAAAUGUAAGUAUGUCUCUUGCAAUAUUUGAGACAUAUUUAUACUAAAA